AGCUGGAGGAGCGUGGCAGAACCCCGGACAGGGCAGUGCUGCCAGAAGCUGGGGAGAGCGAGAUGGAGCCCUGAGCUGGUUGCUGGGACUCCAUUAGGACAAGGCCCUAAGGUAGACUGCGUAUGACUUGGCCGGAGGGCUGAAUCAGUGAAGGCCCACAACAAACAGGUAGAGAGAGAAAGUGCCGGCACACGCACUUGGCCAGGGGGCGCUCACGAGAGUGAUCCAGAGUCCAGCUACAUCACUGCUAGAGGCAUUAAGAAGUUGGAAGCAGGAGAAAUCGAUCCAAGCUGUUGUAAAAUGUGG